rnacentral:rRNA from 1 species
UGGGGAAUAUUGCACAAUGGGGGAAACCCUGAUGCAGCGACGCCGCGUGAGUGAAGAAGUAUUUCGGUACGUAAAGCUCUAUCAGCAGGGAAGAAAAUGACGGUACCUGACUAAGAAGCCCCGGCUAACUACGUGCCAGCAGCCGCGGUAAUACGUAGGGGGCAAGCGUUAUCCGGAUUUACUGGGUGUAAAGGGAGCGUAGGUGGCAGGGCAAGUCAGAUGUGAAAACCCGGGGCUCAACUCCGGGAUUGCAUUUGAAACUGUCCGGCUGGAGUGCAGGAGAGGUAAGUGGAAUUCCUAGUGUAGCGGUGAAAUGCAUAGAUAUUAGGAGGAACACCAGUGGCGAAGGCGGCUUACUGGACUGUAACUGACACUGAGGCUCGAAAGCGUGGGGAGCAAACAGG